UCUGGGCACAGUGGUGCAUACCUAUAGUACCAGCCACUCAGGAGGCUGAGGCAGGAGGAUCACUUGAGUCACAGGAAUUCUGGGUUUUAGUGCAUUAUGCCAAUUGGGUAUCUGCUUUAACUUCAGCAUUAGUGCAGUGACCCCUCAGAAGCAGGGGACCACCAGGUUACCCAAGGAGGGUGAACCGGCCCGGGUAGCAAAUAGAGCAGAUCAAAUAACUCUCCUAUGCUGAUCAGUAGUGGGAUUGCACCUGUAAAAAGCCACUGCACUGCAGCCUGGACAACAUAGUGAAACCCGUCUCU
rnacentral:SRP_RNA from 1 species